AGUGAAUUGGUUUGUUGGGACAUGAGCCGUGGCUCCAGGCCACAGAAGUAAAUCUGAGCUUUUACUGAAACCAUCGCAUCUCGCCUAAUUUCAGCUCUUGCACAUUAAAUUCCCAAUUUGGUGAAGAAAUAAAGGUCUUACGCCACAGGGCUGGUCACAGAGCGCCCCCUGCCAUCCAGCUGAGCAUUUGCACGAUCCGUCUGCCGGGUCACAUUUGGCCCCGUUGGUACAGCGGCAGGUGGCGUUGCACCCAGGGCCCCAGGUGCCGUCAGCGCAGGGGACGGAGCAGUCUGGGCCUUGCCAGCCUGCAGGCGCAACAGAAGGAAGCACGUGCCGUCGACCGGUGAGCAGUCGAUAAAGUUUUCACAGGAGCAUUCCAGGGAGCAGUUCUUCCCGUAGACGCCGCUUUUACAGGGACUCUCGCAGUGAACGCCCUGAUGACGUAAAAAAUGGAAUAAAA